UAAUUAAUUAAUUAAUUUGAAAUUUAAGAAUAUUGUCUAGCAACAUAUCAAAACUAUCAAAAUUUUCAGAAUGCCAAAAGUAGUUUGACUUAAUCUUUUAGUACAUGGUUUGUCAAUGCAAUUAAUAUCCCUUUAUCACAAAUGUCCCGAUUUAAUAUUUGAUGCGUGGAACGUAUAUACAAUAUUAAAUCAUAUUAGUUUUUCAUUUAUUAGCUAUUGACAUAUUGAUUGAAAUUUCAAAUCUCAUUUGCUAAUUUCAUUCUAUCUUGUGCAAAGAUUUUAUGAUCAAUGCUAGCAGAGAACGAAUAGGACAUUCCUUAAUUUAACUUAAGAUAAUGGUAUGUAUUUAGUUGUUGACUGUUGAAAGAUUCUAGUGGAAGCGGUCCACCACGUGAUUCAAUGGUCGGAGACGGUAACACGCUUCAGUUCCCACGUGACGUGAAAUGCUUUUGCCUUUACUAUAUGACCCGGUUGUUGAUUCCCUCCUACAUGUGAGAACAUAUCUUUUUUCUU